AGUGGGGUCUAAGCCCGAAGAGAAUUGAAGUUCAGCCACAGAGCAAGAAGAGGGCAGGAGAGCAGGCCGUGCAAACCUCCUAGUAGCUCCCUCAGGGCUCUUCCAAAAAGAAUAUCUACUUGUUUUCUAGAUGUGAUGGUAUGAGGCAAGUAUUGGGUGACAGCCAGGUACUAGAUACUGUAUUCGGCUAAUUAGUUCUGUGAUACCAUUUAAGUAUUUUUUUUAGUUUUUUUUUCCCAUAGGUUUUGAGGGAACAGGUAUUAUUUGGUUACAUGAGCAGGUUCUUUAGUGGUGAUUUGUGAGAUUUUGGUGCAUCCAUCUCCCAAGCAGUAUACACUGCACCCAAUUUGGGUGUUUUAAGCUCCACCUCUUCAUUUGUGUGUGUGUAUACAUGUCUAGAUGUGUUUACUUGUAUGUACACUUACUGUUAUAUGUUGUGUCUACCAAAUUGGCUUAUAAGUAAAAGAGUGUUCAUAAAUUAAGUAAAUAAGUCUAAGCAAUUUUCAAAUUCACUUAAGUAUGACUUUGCUAAAUAGGCUGUCUUUUAAAUUAUCAGUAAAAUGAAAAUAGAAAUGUCUUCAAAAUAUAGACAUGGUCUAAAUUAUGCAAGUCAGAAACUAGGUUGACUAAAUGCUUUAAGGUCAUAAACUGCUUUGGCUUUUGAAAAUUGUUCAACUUUCCUGCUUUGCAGUUUGGUAGGGCCUGCCCUAGCUAUGCUGGAAAUAGUUAGACCUCAUCUGCACCUAAGUACGUAACUAAAAUAACUUACUGGGUAUUUCACCAAAAUUAACAAUUACUAAGAGCUACCAUUAUAACAUGUAGUGAUGACUACUGAAAACAGAUCUACACGUGAGAAUCAAGGAAGCUUUUCUUUUGAGCUAUUUGUAGCUUUUGACAAUUGUGAAGGUGAACCAACUAGUGAUAUCUGACUACAGCUCAGAAGAAACAAGGGAUGGGCCGUUAAACUCCAAAUGGUCAUGAAAAUGGAGCCUCAGAUGAUGGCUGCCUUGUACUGGAUAUUCUUAGAUAGGUCUCUGAGAGAGACUUGACUGUUGUUUUCCCAAAACAAUAUCCCUGGUCAGCACGAAGCAGUUAAGAGUGGUCAUUGUCCCUACCCUAACAGCAGUUAGGUGUACCUCUUCAGAGGGGGAAAUGAUGGCAGCAGCAGGGAGGCGUGGCUGGGGCUGAACACUCCACGGAGCUGAUGGAAGCCCCACCCUCCUGGGACUGUGGAUCCAAGCCUCCUUGUGCUCUUGGAGGGGGCCAGCAGCAGGCCAGAUCUGCCUGCCUGGAUGCAGCUGCAACCACCUGACCUGUGGCUGCAGACCUGGGCCUCUCACUCCACAGAGCAGGCAGGAGCCAGGGACAAGCAGGAACCCCACCCCUUCUGAGUUGGCAGGGUGGGAGUUCCGUGGAUGCAGCUGUGGCUGCCCUCCCAGGCACAAGACCUGGGCAUCUCUGCAGCCUGCAACCUCAGGGGCCUGGGAAGGCCUCCCCACUAGUCCCCAUCCCAGGCUCAGAAGAGUCUGCUCCCACUGCCUGGCCCCUCUCCCAUCCCAGCACCUGCUCCGAUCUCAGAGCAGGGUUGGGGUUGAGACCUGGGGCCAUGAAUGGCAGCAGGAGGCAGACAGAGUCCUGGGAAGAAGGAGGUGUGUCCCUAGUAAGGCCCACCUUCAGGCCAAGAAGGGCCUGAAGGCUGGGGCCUGGGCUGCCAGUCCCGGAAACCAGAGUGGGGACUUGUGGUGCCUCUUCCUAACCCACCCAUGGCCACCCACAGAACAACUGGCAUGCACUUCCUCCCUUCUGAGGUCCAUAAAAGCCCUGGACUCAGCCAGAGCAGGGCAGAGGAUAGCUAGAGGAUGAAGAGGGCAGAGAGAUGAUGGGACAACCAGCUGCAGAAAGGAGUACCCUCUCUGCCGAUAGCUGGAGAUGAUGGGACAACCCACAGAGAGGAGCCACAUUCUCUGCUGAUAGCUGCAGCGACAACCUGCUGGCAGAGAGGAACCACCCUCUCCAGGGCUUCCUCUCUGCUGAGAGCUGCAAACAUCAGGAUGACCAGUUGCAGAGAGGAGCUACCUCUCCUGGGCCUCCUCUCUACUGAGAACUGAACACUCGACAGAUGACCUGCCUAGAAGAGGAGCUACCCAAUGCAGGUGUCCUCUGAGCUGUUGUAACACUCAAUAGAGCUCAUCUUCGUCUUGCUCACCCUUCACUUGUCUAUGUCCCUUAUUCUUCCUGGACGCAGGACAAGAGCUCAUGCAAAGGCACCGUGACCACAGAGGUUUCCAGCCAGAAAAUUGACACCUCAAAGGUCCUGUAACAAAGAGACAGUCACCAAAGCUGGGACAGCAGCAGGCAUGGGGCACCACAGGACCCCAAAACCAGUCCUACCAUCCAAAAAGUGCCUUACAAGGUGGAGGGAAGAGCAGGAGACAAGAAAGAAGACCAGAGGGUGUAGCAGACUGGCUGUCCAGUGGCCCACAUAUCCUCACCUCUCAGCUGAGUGUGCAGAACCUGUGACUUGCCUGUAACCAAUGGAAAUGGCAAGUGUCACGGAUGACACCUCCAUGAUCAUGCUCCUUAAGAUUGUAACAUCCACAUGGCUGAGAGUCUCUCUCCCCUGCUGGCUGUGAUGGAGCCCUGGCCCUGUGGUGGAGGCCCACAUGGCAAGGAGCUGUGGGUACCUUCAGCUGGCAACCAGCGGGAAACCAAGACCCUUGGUCCUGAAGUGGGACAGAAUGAAUCCUGCCGAUAUCCACUUGAGCUCCAAAUCAAAUCUUUCUCCAGAUGAGCCUUGAGACGAGGCCACCACUGCAGCUAACACCUUGAAUGUAACAUCCAGCUGCCCUGCAGCUACCCUCCUGACCACAGAGCCCAGGAGACAUGGAGUGUGCAUGCUUUACGCAGCUCAGUUUGUGGUGACAUGGUGUCACGGCAACAGACAAGAAAGCUUCAGGCUCCUGGGAAUCCCAGAGCAGCUGCAGGGCUCCUCCCUGCCCCACACUGAGCAGCCCAGCACUCUCCAGCAGGCCCAUUGCCUGCACCUUGUCAAUGACCCAGAUGGCUGUGCUCUCCAGAACCUACCCGAGCUCCUACAGGUGCCACUCACUGCCUCCCCUCCCCUGGGCAGACUCCUCGCUGAUGGUGCAAUAGCCCAAGUUCCUAGGGAACCUGGGCCAGGGAGUUACCUCUGCACAGGGGUAAUGCCCCAGUAGGCUCUGGCUCAGAGUUGCUGAUGGAAGGCAUCAAAGUGGCGCAAGGUGGAAAACACCCCAUCCCUCCCCCAUUUUCAGACCUAGGAGUGCAUGUGGCAUUGGGGGUGAGCCCCUCCACAUGCACAUAGAAGUACAGAUAAACAGAGGCCCAUGGUGUCAGGCAUACUCUGGAUUUCUGAGACUCUCAGCUGAGCCUCAAGCCCAGUAGACCCACUGGCUGAUUUGGUCAAAAGCAUGCCCCACCUUGGGGGCUGCAGCUCCAUAAUUCCCACUCCUGGGGGGUUUUCUUCUUUGGAAAUGCUCAGCUGCUGCCAAGAGAGGGCUCAAGGGGGCUGCCACCCAGAAGGCUGAGCAUGCCCUGGGCAGGAGGGAGGUGGGCCAGAGGCAGACACUCCCCAGCCCAGAGGAAGGUGGUGGCGCACACUCAGUGCUGGCCCUGUUGUGCCCACAACCCUGACACGAGUGUCCUGCAUGUGGAUGGGAAGCAGCCAGGGUGCAAGGGGCCCACUUUCAGCACACUUUGAGGAGAAACCAGGCCCCUCUGUGGUACCACCUCCCCAGUGGCCUGUCCAGGCCAAGCCUGGUGCCACUGCUCACCUGUUUCAUGGAGAAAGCAGCUGCCCCCAACUCUGGGUGCUCAAUGGACUCAGGCCUCCUUUCUUUGGCUUGGACUAGGGAGCAAGGGAGCCUGUACCCACCCCUGCAUCCUUCCUUUUCCACUGUCUCCCAGCCCCAUGGUUUGGGUCCAUGAGGGGAUGACCAGACAUCCCAGGCAAUCAAAAUUGCAAAGGGGAGAUGGGACUGAGGGCCAUGGCCAACUGAGAACAAGCCGUUGCCACCAUCCUGAGCAUCUAGGAUGGCAGGCCGGGCUCCUUCUGAGCCCCGUCUCCUGAUCUGAUGGAACUGCUCACCCCCACGUACUGCAGAUGAGAAAUGAGAAACGAAGGCCUAAGGGGGCAAGUCAUCUGCCCAGAAUCACAUGCCUGGCUCUAUGUCAAGUCUUAAUAAAUCAACUCACUCAAA